rnacentral:rRNA from 2 species
GCAGUCGAACGCGUUGGCCCAAUUGAUUGAUGGUGCUUGCACCUGAUUGAUUUUGGUCGCCAACGAGUGGCGGACGGGUGAGUAACACGUAGGUAACCUGCCCAGAAGCGGGGGACAACAUUUGGAAACAGAUGCUAAUACCGCAUAACAGCGUUGUUCGCAUGAACAACGCUUAAAAGAUGGCUUCUCGCUAUCACUUCUGGAUGGACCUGCGGUGCAUUAGCUUGUUGGUGGGGUAACGGCCUACCAAGGCGAUGAUGCAUAGCCGAGUUGAGAGACUGAUCGGCCACAAUGGGACUGAGACACGGCCCAUACUCCUACGGGAGGCAGCAGUAGGGAAUCUUCCACAAUGGGCGCAAGCCUGAUGGAGCAACACCGCGUGAGUGAAGAAGGGUUUCGGCUCGUAAAGCUCUGUUGUUAAAGAAGAACACGUAUGAGAGUAACUGUUCAUACGUUGACGGUAUUUAACCAGAAAGUCACGGCUAACUACGUGCCAGCAGCCGCGGUAAUACGUAGGUGGCAAGCGUUAUCCGGAUUUAUUGGGCGUAAAGAGAGUGCAGGCGGUUUUCUAAGUCUGAUGUGAAAGCCUUCGGCUUAACCGGAGAAGUGCAUCGGAAACUGGAUAACUUGAGUGCAGAAGAGGGUAGUGGAACUCCAUGUGUAGCGGUGGAAUGCGUAGAUAUAUGGAAGAACACCAGUGGCGAAGGCGGCUACCUGGUCUGCAACUGACGCUGAGACUCGAAAGCAUGGGUAGCGAACAGGAUUAGAUACCCUGGUAGUCCAUGCCGUAAACGAUGAGUGCUAGGUGUUGGAGGGUUUCCGCCCUUCAGUGCCGGAGCUAACGCAUUAAGCACUCCGCCUGGGGAGUACGACCGCAAGGUUGAAACUCAAAGGAAUUGACGGGGGCCCGCACAAGCGGUGGAGCAUGUGGUUUAAUUCGAAGCUACGCGAAGAACCUUACCAGGUCUUGACAUCUUGCGCCAACCCUAGAGAUAGGGCGUUUCCUUCGGGAACGCAAUGACAGGUGGUGCAUGGUCGUCGUCAGCUCGUGUCGUGAGAUGUUGGGUUAAGUCCCGCAACGAGCGCAACCCUUGUUACUAGUUGCCAGCAUUAAGUUGGGCACUCUAGUGAGACUGCCGGUGACAAACCGGAGGAAGGUGGGGACGACGUCAGAUCAUCAUGCCCCUUAUGACCUGGGCUACACACGUGCUACAAUGGACGGUACAACGAGUCGCGAACUCGCGAGGGCAAGCAAAUCUCUUAAAACCGUUCUCAGUUCGGACUGCAGGCUGCAACUCGCCUGCACGAAGUCGGAAUCGCUAGUAAUCGCGGAUCAGCAUGCCGCGGUGAAUACGUUCCCGGGCCUUGUACACACCGCCCGUCACACCAUGAGAGUUUGUAACACCCAAAGUCGGUGGGGUAACCUUUAGGAGCCAGC